CCCUCCCUCCCAAACCCUCCCACCUCCUGGACAGCUGCCUUCAACAUGGCUGCUGUCCAGGAGGUGGGAGGGUCUGGGAGGGAGGG